rnacentral:misc_RNA from 1 species
GAUAAGAACGUAGCGAAAUGCGAUACUUGGUGUGAAUUGCAGAAUCCCGUGAACCAUCGAGUCUUUGAACGCAAGUUGCGCCCGAAGCCAUCAGGUUGAGGGCACGUCUGCCUGGGCGUCACAUAUCGUUGCCCAAUGCCUAUUGCAGUGCAAUAGGAAUUUCUAGGGCGAAUGAUGGCUUCCCGUGAGCGUUGUUGCCUCGCGGUUGGUUGAAAAUCGAGUCCUUGGUAGGGUGUGCCAUGGUAGAUGGUGGUCGAGUUAGAACGAUACCGAUCAUGUGCAUGCUCCCCAAAAUAUGGCCUCUAUGACCCACACGCGUCUUUUGACGCUCAUGACGAGACCUCAGGUCAGGCGGGGCUACUCGCUGAAUUUAAGCAUAUCAAUAAGCGGAGGA